CUAAGGUUUCCAGGGGAAGGCUCGUCCGCCCUGGGUUAGUCGGGACCUAAGGAGAGACCGAAAGGUGUAUCCGAUGGACAACAGGUUGAUAUUCCUGUACUAGAGUAUGUAGUGAUGGAGGGACGCAGUAGGCUAACUAAAGCAGACGAUUGGAAGAGUCUGUCUAAGCAGUGAGGUGUGAAUUGAGUCAAAUGCUUAAUUCUAUAACAUUGAGCUGUGAUGGGGAGCGAAGUUUAGUAGCGAAGUUAGUGACGUCACACUGCCAAGAAAAGCUUCUAGCGUUUAAACAUACUCUACCCGUACCGCAAACCGACACAGGUAGUCGAGGCGAGUAGCCUCAGGUGAGCGAGAGAACUCUCGUUAAGGAACUCGGCAAAAUGACCCCGUAACUUCGGGAGAAGGGGUGCUGACUUUAAGUCAGCCGCAGUGAAUAGGCCCAAGCAACUGUUUAUCAAAAACACAGCUCUCUGCUAAAUCGUAAGAUGAUGUAUAG
rnacentral:rRNA from 1 species